GUCGGAGUCGGAAAAACAACAGUCCGCAAACAGUUAUGUUACACUUACAGUAAAACGUAUGUAUGUACGUGCUUUUCGAAACACUUGUAGACUAGACCAAACCAGACCAGACCCUUAUGCUACUCAUGGUUACUCAUUCUUGGACACACAACAGUUGACACUUUUCGGCCAUCGCAUGCCUAGCGGCUGCCCUUGAACGGAAAAACCUUGACAGACACCGAGCGAGAGAAGGAGAGAGAUGAGUAGUGCGAGAGACCGAAAGCGAGAGCGGGCGAGCAGGUCGCUAUUUGAAAAAGAGCCUGCGCAAGAGAGAGACGGCACCACAGCCACCAGCACAGCAAAAAGAACUUCUGGCGAUUCGUCCAAAGUCCAUUCCCAUUCCCAGCCACAGGCACAGCUCUAUUUGGUCAUAUUUCGUAUGCAUGGCGGAGCCUUCUAUUAUGUAAACGAGUAAAACUACAUAAAUUAAGGUAAAACCAACCAAGUCAGACCGACUGACGGACAAUUGCCCGGCCGUUGACGUCGACUGAGCAUAACAGUUUUAUAUUUAGUUUGCCUUUUUACACCUUCACACGCCAACACACACGCACACUGAAACACAGAGAAAACGCAUUAAAAAAAUGUAAAAACCCAGAAGCCAACAAACAGAACAGUGGCGGUGCGGCUCCCCCAUGUAGGGUCAGCAGAGGCGAGCAUCGGUGACAAGAUCUAUAGCAGGAAACUCCCUGGCUAUGCCCUUGAAAGAGGUGUUCUACUCUGCUAAGCAUUUAAUGGCCGAAAAUACUUGUUAGCCGAGAAGAAAAGCAUCUUCCAACUGAAAAGAAAGCGUGCAACGGAAAGAGAGAGACAGACUGGCAAUGUAAGUGUUGUUGCAAGUGUCUCUUCUGUGCCUAGGUGUCUGGGAAGUACCCCCCCUCCCUGGCCACGAUUCAAGACGCUAGAGACGAAACAGAGCGUACCCAUGGCUUGCUCAUUAUGAUGGCUUAGAUAAAUAUAUAUAUA